rnacentral:snRNA from 1 species
GUGCUCCCUUCUGCAGCACAUAUACUAAAAUUGGAAUGAUACAGAGAAGAUUACAUGGCCCCUGUGCAAGGAUGACAUGAAAAUUCGUGAAGCACUCCAUUAAAAA